AAAUACAUUUUACGUUCAGGUGCUUUUGCCUCAUGGCAGAAGGUAAAAGGGAAAAGGGUGCGACUCCCUUGCUGUCCCGCAACUGUGAACGGUGAUGAAAGCCGCAACGAUGCCACUGAUCUGGUUUCCAUGAUGAAACCCCGGGAAGGCGCGGCGAGUAAAGUGAUCCGUGAGCCAGGAAACCUGCCUGACCGUCAGCUUCACA
rnacentral:ncRNA from 2 species